GGCUGUGGAACAUCGGCCUGGGCUGGCUCCAGGGCCGGGCAGUGACACAGAGCGCGGGGCCUGCCUCUGAGGCGCUCGGUCUGCGGCUCACUGCACUGCACCCCAAGAGGCUCCAUCUGAGAGGCUGGAAAAAAAAGUGGCUGCGGCCAUGGCUCCAAGCCACAGGGGAGCAAGGCCUUUCAAUUCACUUCGUGGAACUGCAUCGUCCUCCCGCUGAAAUCAAACAAAUGCGAAGUUGAACCAAGGGAAACUGAGGCACUGCUAGCCUGAGUCCGGAGCAGACUCCAAAUCUGGAGGGCACGCGAAAGAACUCGUGGCUUUAACGUCUGCAGAACCCCGACUCACAACAAACGGCUUCACUUAUGGGUUUAGGAGGGAAAAUCCCCCCCCAAAAAGCGUAAGGAGAUCCAACAAGCAGCAUGCUGGAUGACUCAUACACCGGGACCAGGCAGAAAUUUCGUCGCAGGCAGCUUCGGGCCGUUCACCCUCACUCUCGUAGGACGCUCCUUCACGUGAACGUAAUACGGUUUCUGUGCCCGUGCCGCUGUGGACGGACGUCUGGACGAUUUCUUACAAUGCACCUCUGUGAACGGUUCUUCUGUGAGGGCUCAGGGUGUGCGUCCUGAAGCCCCGUCCUCUGGGGGAUUUUCUGGGUCACCGGGCACGUACCCACUCAAUGUGACAUCGUCACCUUCCCCAUCCUGAAGUGACCCAUUUACUGUCCUCUACGAUCUUCUAAGACUUGUCCGAUUUUACCUUUCCACUAAGAGCUGAAAUAAACCCGUAAUUAAUUUUUCUGAACAGUG